rnacentral:rRNA from 1 species
AGUGAACGCUGGCGGCGUGCUUAACACAUGCAAGUCGAACGAGAACGGAAUAUAGCUUGCUAUAUUUGUCAGCUAAGUGGCGCACGGGUGAGUAAUGUAUAGAUAACCUGCCCUUAAGAAAGGAAUAACAGUUGGAAACGACUGCUAAUGCCCUAUAUGCCUUUAAUACAUAAGUAUGCAAGGGAAACGCUUUAGUGCUUAAGGAUGGGUCUGUAUGGUAUCAGCUUGUUGGUGAGGUAAUGGCUCACCAAGGCUAUGACGCCUAACUGGUUUGAGAGGAUGAUCAGUCACACUGGAACUGAGACACGGUCCAGACUCCUACGGGAGGCAGCAGUGGGGAAUAUUGCACAAUGGACGAAAGUCUGAUGCAGCAACGCCGCGUGGAGGAUGACACAUUUCGGUGCGUAAACUCCUUUUAUAUAGGAAGAUAAUGACGGUACUAUAUGAAUAAGCACCGGCUAACU